rnacentral:rRNA from 1 species
CCUACGGGCGACAGCAGUGGGGGAUAUUGCACAAUGGGGGAAACCCUGAUGCAGCGACGCCGCGUGUGGGAAGACGGUCCUCUGGAUUGUAAACCACUGUCCCCAGGGACGAAGAUGACGGUACCUGGGGAGGAAGCUCCGGCUAACUACGUGCCAGCAGCCGCGGUAAUACGUAGGGAGCGAGCGUUGUCCGGAAUUACUGGGUGAAAAGGGAGCGUAGGCGGGACUGCAAGUUGGGUGUCAAAUCUACCGGCUCAACCGGUAGCCGCACUCAAAACUGCAGUUCUUGAGUGAAGUAGAGGCAGGCGGAAUUCCUAGUGUAGCGGUGAAAUGCGUAGAUAUUAGGAGGAACACCAGUGGCGAAGGCAGCCUCCUGGGACGCAACUGACGCUCAUACACGAAAGCGUGGGGAGCAAACAGGAUUAGAUACCCGGGUAGUC